UAAAUACUCCUGACUGACCGAUAGUGAACCAGUACCGUGAGGGAAAGGCGAAAAGAACCCCGGCGAGGGGAGUGAAAAAGAACCUGAAACCGUGUACGUACAAGCAGUGGGAGCACCUUCGGGUGUGACUGCGUACCUUUUGUAUAAUGGGUCAGCGACUUAUAUUCUGUAGCAAGGUUAACCGUAUAGGGGAGCCGCAGGGAAACCGAGUCUUAACUGGGCGUUAAGUUGCAGGGUAUAGACCCGAAACCCGGUGAUCUAGCCAUGGGCAGGUUGAAGGUUGGGUAACACUAACUGGAGGACCGAACCGACUAAUGUUGAAAAAUUAGCGGAUGACUUGUGGCUGGGGGUGAAAGGCCAAUCAAACCGGGAGAUAGCUGGUUCUCCCCGAAAGCU
rnacentral:rRNA from 1 species